GGUUAAGCGACUAAGCGUACACGGUGGAUGCCCUGGCAGUCAGAGGCGAUGAAGGACGUGCUAAUCUGCGAUAAGCGUCGGUAAGGUGAUAUGAACCGUUAUAACCGGCGAUUUCCGAAUGGGGAAACCCAGUGUGUUUCGACACACUAUCAUUAACUGAAUCCAUAGGUUAAUGAGGCGAACCGGGGGAACUGAAACAUCUAAGUACCCCGAGGAAAAGAAAUCAACCGAGAUUCCCCCAGUAGCGGCGAGCGAACGGGGAGGAGCCCAGAGCCUGAAUCAGUGUGUGUGUUAGUGGAAGCGUCUGGAAAGGCGCGCGAUACAGGGUGACAGCCCCGUACACAAAAAUGCACAUGCUGUGAGCUCGAUGAGUAGGGCGGGACACGUGGUAUCCUGUCUGAAUAUGGGGGGACCAUCCUCCAAGGCUAAAUACUCCUGACUGACCGAUAGUGAACCAGUACCGUGAGGGAAAGGCGAAAAGAACCCCGGCGAGGGGAGUGAAAAAGAACCUGAAACCGUGUACGUACAAGCAGUGGGAGCACGCUUAGGCGUGUGACUGCGUACCUUUUGUAUAAUGGGUCAGCGACUUAUAUUCUGUAGCAAGGUUAACCGAAUAGGGGAGCCGAAGGGAAACCGAGUCUUAACUGGGCGUUAAGUUGCAGGGUAUAGACCCGAAACCCGGUGAUCUAGCCAUGGGCAGGUUGAAGGUUGGGUAACACUAACUGGAGGACCGAACCGACUAAUGUUGAAAAAUUAGCGGAUGACUUGUGGCUGGGGGUGAAAGGCCAAUCAAACCGGGAGAUAGCUGGUUCUCCCCGAAAGCUAUUUAGGUAGCGCCUCGUGAAUUCAUCUCCGGGGGUAGAGCACUGUUUCGGCAAGGGGGUCAUCCCGACUUACCAACCCGAUGCAAACUGCGAAUACCGGAGAAUGUUAUCACGGGAGACACACGGCGGGUGCUAACGUCCGUCGUGAAGAGGGAAACAACCCAGACCGCCAGCUAAGGUCCCAAAGUCAUGGUUAAGUGGGAAACGAUGUGGGAAGGCCCAGACAGCCAGGAUGUUGGCUUAGAAGCAGCCAUCAUUUAAAGAAAGCGUAAUAGCUCACUGGUCGAGUCGGCCUGCGCGGAAGAUGUAACGGGGCUAAACCAUGCACCGAAGCUGCGGCAGCGACACUAUGUGUUGUUGGGUAGGGGAGCGUUCUGUAAGCCUGUGAAGGUGUGCUGUGAGGCAUGCUGGAGGUAUCAGAAGUGCGAAUGCUGACAUAAGUAACGAUAAAGCGGGUGAAAAGCCCGCUCGCCGGAAGACCAAGGGUUCCUGUCCAACGUUAAUCGGGGCAGGGUGAGUCGACCCCUAAGGCGAGGCCGAAAGGCGUAGUCGAUGGGAAACAGGUUAAUAUUCCUGUACUUGGUGUUACUGCGAAGGGGGGACGGAGAAGGCUAUGUUGGCCGGGCGACGGUUGUCCCGGUUUAAGCGUGUAGGCUGGUUUUCCAGGCAAAUCCGGAAAAUCAAGGCUGAGGCGUGAUGACGAGGCACUACGGUGCUGAAGCAACAAAUGCCCUGCUUCCAGGAAAAGCCUCUAAGCAUCAGGUAACAUCAAAUCGUACCCCAAACCGACACAGGUGGUCAGGUAGAGAAUACCAAGGCGCUUGAGAGAACUCGGGUGAAGGAACUAGGCAAAAUGGUGCCGUAACUUCGGGAGAAGGCACGCUGAUAUGUAGGUGAAGUCCCUUGCGGAUGGAGCUGAAAUCAGUCGAAGAUACCAGCUGGCUGCAACUGUUUAUUAAAAACACAGCACUGUGCAAACACGAAAGUGGACGUAUACGGUGUGACGCCUGCCCGGUGCCGGAAGGUUAAUUGAUGGGGUUAGCGCAAGCGAAGCUCUUGAUCGAAGCCCCGGUAAACGGCGGCCGUAACUAUAACGGUCCUAAGGUAGCGAAAUUCCUUGUCGGGUAAGUUCCGACCUGCACGAAUGGCGUAAUGAUGGCCAGGCUGUCUCCACCCGAGACUCAGUGAAAUUGAACUCGCUGUGAAGAUGCAGUGUACCCGCGGCAAGACGGAAAGACCCCGUGAACCUUUACUAUAGCUUGACACUGAACAUUGAGCCUUGAUGUGUAGGAUAGGUGGGAGGCUUUGAAGUGUGGACGCCAGUCUGCAUGGAGCCGACCUUGAAAUACCACCCUUUAAUGUUUGAUGUUCUAACGUUGACCCGUAAUCCGGGUUGCGGACAGUGUCUGGUGGGUAGUUUGACUGGGGCGGUCUCCUCCUAAAGAGUAACGGAGGAGCACGAAGGUUGGCUAAUCCUGGUCGGACAUCAGGAGGUUAGUGCAAUGGCAUAAGCCAGCUUGACUGCGAGCGUGACGGCGCGAGCAGGUGCGAAAGCAGGUCAUAGUGAUCCGGUGGUUCUGAAUGGAAGGGCCAUCGCUCAACGGAUAAAAGGUACUCCGGGGAUAACAGGCUGAUACCGCCCAAGAGUUCAUAUCGACGGCGGUGUUUGGCACCUCGAUGUCGGCUCAUCACAUCCUGGGGCUGAAGUAGGUCCCAAGGGUAUGGCUGUUCGCCAUUUAAAGUGGUACGCGAGCUGGGUUUAGAACGUCGUGAGACAGUUCGGUCCCUAUCUGCCGUGGGCGCUGGAGAACUGAGGGGGGCUGCUCCUAGUACGAGAGGACCGGAGUGGACGCAUCACUGGUGUUCGGGUUGUCAUGCCAAUGGCACUGCCCGGUAGCUAAAUGCGGAAGAGAUAAGUGCUGAAAGCAUCUAAGCACGAAACUUGCCCCGAGAUGAGUUCUCCCUGACUCCUUGAGAGUCCUGAAGGAACGUUGAAGACGACGACGUUGAUAGGCCGGGUGUGUAAGCGCAGCGAUGCGUUGAGCUAACCGGUACUAAUGAACCGUGAGGCUUAACCUU
rnacentral:rRNA from 1 species